rfam:Paenisporosarcina sp. HGH0030 genomic scaffold acAqH-supercont1.1, whole genome shotgun sequence.
GGUUUAGGAAGGAAGACUAAACUCGCGACAUCGUGCCGCAACGCCUUCAUGACCCACAUCCUGUGGG